AGUGAACGCUGGCGGUAGGCCUAACAUAUGCAAGUCGAACGGCAGCACAGGAGAGCUUGCUCUCUGGGUGGCGAGUGGCGGACGGGUGAGGAAUACAUCGGAAUCUACUUUUUCGUGGGGGAUAACGUAGGGAAACUUACGCUAAUACCGCAUACGACCUACGGGUGAAAGCAGGGGACCUUCGGGCCUUGCGCGAUUGACUGAGCCGAUGUCGGAUUAGCUAGUUGGCGGGGUAAAGGCCCACCAAGGCGACGAUCCGUAGCUGGUCUGAGAGGAUGAUCAGCCACACUGGAACUGAGACACGGUCCAGACUCCUACGGGAGGCAGCAGUGGGGAAUAUUGGACAAUGGGCGCAAGCCUGAUCCAGCCAUACCGCGUGGGUGAAGAAGGCCUUCGGGUUGUAAAGCCCUUUUGUUGGGAAAGAAAUCCAGCUGGCUAAUACCCGGUUGGGAUGACGGUACCCAAAGAAUAAGCACCGGCUAACUUCGUGCCAGCAGCCGCCGUAA
rnacentral:rRNA from 1 species